rnacentral:tRNA from 1 species
GGGGGUGUAGUGGUAAUUCUCAUUUCAUUGGAAGAAAGAAUUCUGGGUUCGAAUCCUAGCAUCCCCA